GAAAUAAGGAAGUUUUCGCGAUAGCGUGAAGAAAAACAUGACAAAGCGAUAUACCUGUAGCAUUAUGACGCACCAAUGAAUCGUUAAGGGUGGUCAAGGAAGCUGAGGAAAAAUCGAUAUACGCUACCCCUUCGUGGCAUGCACGCCAGCUACCAACAUACACAUAUAUUAUACACGCGAGGAAUUAGAGCCGGGCACUGAAAUUAUCCCUGUCGCCUGUCGUCCGCGAUAUCCUCGCUACGACCGGGUCGCUCCCACGACUGGGAAAGACACGAUGCGAAGCGUGAUAAACUUCUAACAAAACCAUUGUCGAAAAAAGGGAAAAAAAAACAAAACCAUUCAUUGUCCCAGACGAAUUGGAUCUCGUGGCUAUUGUUGUAUCGGGGCAUCGUGUCGAGCAUCUUUUGCUGAGCAAUCGACGCA